AAAUACACACGGAUUUCCCAAAAUACGAGACCUAUCACUAAUAGGCUGAAGCUCUUGACACGAAUAGUCCAAACAUUACUCAAAUCAAUACCUCAAAACUAUUGCAAGUUACUACUAUACUUAAAUAGCAACCUCAAUUACCUACUCAUGAAAGACACACAACUCAGUGCAACAAGCCAACAAACUAAACAAGAUAAGCA
rnacentral:lncRNA from 1 species